rnacentral:rRNA from 1 species
GACGAACGCUGGCGGCGUGCUUAACACAUGCAAGUCGAGCGGUAAGGCCCUUUCGGGGGUACACGAGCGGCGAACGGGUGAGUAACACGUGGGUGACCUGCCUUUAGCUCUGGGAUAAGCCUGGGAAACUGGGUCUAAUACCGGAUAUGACUCCAUGAUGCAUGUUGUGGGGUGGAAAGCCUUGUGCGGCUGGAGAUGGGCCCGCGGCCUAUCAGCUUGCUGGUGGGGUGANGGCCUACCAAGGCGACGACGGGUAGCCGGCCUGAGAGGGCGACCGGCCACACUGGGACUGAGACACGGCCCAGACUCCUACGGGAGGCAGCAGGUGGGGAAUCUUGCGCAAUGGGCGAAAGCCUGACGCAGCGACGCCGCGUGAGGGAUGACGGCCU